GCAACAAGUUUGUCAUUUUGUCAACCUUCGCCGUUCUCGGUCCUUCUCGCGUUAGGUACAGGAAGAUAAAUACGAGAAUUUGCGCGAAAAAAAACGUAAUGUGUUCUUUGUGGAUUUUUGAAAAGUUGCUAGUAUUAACCUACAGCUAGUAUCAACUUAUCCAGUUUCGAAUGCAGAAAUAUACCCAGCAAUGAGCUUGUCACCGUAUGAAACCCCAGGACCUGAAAUAGAAAUACCAUUUGGUUAGUUGAUUCCAUUUUAUUAUGAAAGGAACUGAAAUGAGUAGAAAAUGCGUUUCACACAGAUCCAAACCUUGUCUCCCCAACUGCAGCUUCACUGACCAAGAAUUAACUUUCUGCGACAAGAAUUAUGAAAGCAAUUUACAAGAAUGGCCAACUGCUGCCUUCCAUGUUUAUUUCAAAUGAGAAGAAA